ACAUUAACUCCCAUUUAGAUUUUAUCAAUGCAUAAUCCUUAUAUCAUUUUUGUUGUUGUUGUGUUGUUUUGUUUGCUUUGUUUUGUUCAAUUUUAUUCCUUGGGCUUUGAUAACAGAAGAAAUUCCAAUGUAAGUUUUGCCUAAAUAGCUCUUUCUCCCAGCAUUCUGUGAAUUCACAGACUGAUUCACAAAGUCAUUGUGAAUUAUUCAUCAUUGGAUGGCUGACACAGGUGGGAUGCCACCAUUGCUGCCGUGUCUGUUCAUCACUGGAUGACUGACACAGGUGGGAUGCCGCCAUUGCUGCCGUGUCUGUUCAUCACUGGAUGGCUGACACAGGUGGGAUGCCACCAUUGCUGCCGUGUCUGUUCAUCACUGGAUGGCUGACACAGGUGGUAUGCCACCAUUGCUGCCGUGUCUGUUCAUCACUGGAUGGCUGACACAGGUGGGAUGCCACCAUUGCUGCCGUGUCUGUAUGGUUGUUGCAUUUAAUGCACCCUCAAAAUGAUUCCCAGAGGGAACCAUCCUUGGAGCAUGCAGCUCCUCGGAGUUGGGUAUGCUUUCCUCUGCACCCCACUAUCACAUCUGGAUCCUGAGUGGGCAGCAGGGUUGUUUGAGCUCUGCCACUCACGUGCUCAUUGAACCAAGAUUCAGGCUUGUGUGAUUUGCAUGUACGAUAGUUUACAAAUAUUGUAAGUCUCUCUUUAUUUUUAUUAACAGAAAAAUAGCAAAAUGACUGCAGCUCAGAAGGCUUUGGCUAAAGUUGACAAAAGUGGAAUGAAAAGUAUCGAUGCCUUUUUUGGUGCAAAAAAUAAAAAAACUGGAAAGAUUUGAAGCAUCGAAAAUAAAAUCCAGUGAAGCAGAAAC
rnacentral:lncRNA from 1 species